ensembl:lincRNA
AUCUUGGACCAGAGUGUCAGCAGGGAAGGAGAGUGGUUUCCGCCAAACAAAUGGAUAAGAUGUCCGACUACUGGCCUGUUUCAGAUGCAAAUGUGAAGAGUAUCCCAGGUUACAGAGCGAACGCUCAGAAAAGAGAUUCAUGAGAAAGGACAAGUACCUAGUCUUAAUGUUCUGGAUCUCUUUUCUAAGCUGGAUGGGCUCAAGACCGAGGCCCUUGUAGUGACGAGGGAUCAUUGAGGAAGACGGACCAGAAAGAUCCUAUGAGCCAGAGGUAGUGGAUAACUACAGCGAAACAGUGUUUUCUGGACAAUGCAGGGCAGCUGCAGAUGUGAACCAAGAAUGUGAACUCACAGUGGAUGCGCCUGCAUUCAGAAGACAGCACAAGAUCAAGCCAGAGAAAAAUGCAUCAGAGAAUUUCUCAUGGUAUUCUGGCUGCUUCUUACCACUGCCAUGGACUUGGGUGGAUUUGGUGGAGCCUUGUGGUUUCUUCUGGAUUGAGCCACUGCUGCUGAUUCCUGCUUGGUGUUUUGGAUUGGACUGCUGAUAUCCGAACAACAAAGAUCAGAAUUACCCUAAAGAACUACUUCUAAACAGGUCCGCAUCCCCAGUUUCCUAUUAACCUUUCUUUCCCCCUACCUCUGGUAGGUGGGUUAAAAGGAAAGUUGAUGUAUUUAAGAACCCUUAUUAAAGCAGGUUUUGAAAAAUCUAAGCCUACACUAGAUAGACCCAGAAAAAGCGACUUAGGGAGAAAUGGAGUUAUUUGGCUCACAGUUCCAGGUCAUGGUUCAUCAUUGCAGAGAAGUCAAGAAGAAAGGACUUGAAACAGCUGCUAACAUCACAUUUACAUCUAAGAGCAGAAAGCAAUAUAUAUUAUAUACUAGUGAUAAGAUCUCUCUCUCUCUCUCUCUCUCUCUCUCUCUCUCUCUCUCUCUCUCUCUCCUAUAUAAUCCAGGAUUCACUGCCUAGAGAAUGGUGACACAAGGGAGCCGGCCUUCCCUCUCAUCAAACAAUCCAUAGGCAUGCCCACAGGCCAGCCUAUUCUAGAUAAUUCCUUAUUGAGGCUUCUGCCCAGGUAAUUCUAGAAUCUUUCAAGUUGUCAGUUAAAAAUGAAGACUCACACCAGCUGAGCAUGGGUGGCCUCACCUUCCUGCCUCCACACCUUUCCUCCCUUGAGAGAUUAGCCUGUCAAGCUGCAGUCAGGUGUUUGGCCACAGCAAUAAGAAGAGUAGCUAAUGUGUUUAUAAUUUGUAUAGUUCCUAAAAGGAGUGCAUGAGAAUUUAUGAGAAAAUGUAUAGAUAUAAUAGAAGAUCGAUCUAGUAUUGUAAGUGUUAAUUGUAAAGUUAAAGAAAUCACAUAUACUACACUUUAAAUAUCAGCAAAAUCUUAUUGUUGAGAAAGCUUUUGUAAGAUAUACAAAAUUAGAUAGUACUUCAUAGUUUCCCAUGUUCACUAGACUAUAGCAUAAUUUUGCUUCCGCAAUAUAGGAGGAGUCUAGUGGAUAGUGCUUGUGUUGCAUGCUGCUUUUUAUCUGGACAUGGUAUAAUUAUAUCUUGGGUUAUCCCUAGUAGCCAUGGCAACCAGAGCAGUACCAUGGAAGCUGGGUCUAUGGUAAUGGUGACAGUACUAUUGUCUCCUUAGAGAGGGGAGAAAGAAAGAGUUAGAAGACCCUCACUUGAGAGCCCUCCCCCAGAUGCAAGUGAUCUUGAGAGAUGCUGGAGUAUAUGGGAAUUAAAAGGUUAACUGAAGUCUGGACUCUAUGAGAUCACCAUCCAUGGUGGAGAGGGGGUUGGUGAGGCUGCAGCUUGUCGGGGGUCACUCAUAUUUCUCUAAGUAACCCCUCCCCCGUGCUCUGUAACAAGCCCAAGAAGCGCACCAGUCUCACCUUUGACCUGUCAUGGAUAAGGCUAUGGAUUCUGUUGUGGAUGUCCAUCUAGAGUGAUUACACAUUUGGUUUCCCCAGGAGAAGUCACCAUAACCCUGCUCUUUUAGGAGUAACAUGGAAGUCACUGAACCUGCCCAGUGGUCUUCCAGUCUUUGAAGUUUAAGGAAGGUUCCAGGUACAACCCCCAUAGUGACUUGUUCUUUCAUUCUAGACACCACCAUGGAGACAUCCAUUGCUGUUGUUAAAGUCAGAGCUCCUGAUACUCACACAGCCCUGCCUUAGCUGAGACCCUAGGGGUUUACACUUCUAACCAGCACUUGCUGCUCAAUGCCAUCUUGUCUCUCAGCCCCAGAGUCUUGAAACUGCACUAGCACUUGGUCAAACCAUCCUUUCUUUGCACUCAAUGUCAGAGCAUAGAUGCCCAGUCACUCUCUGUUCCAUGUGCAUUGCUGUCUUCUCCCAAAGCUUGGCGCCAUUCACUCAGAGGCUUAAAGUACACAGUAACCGCCAACUCUCCCAAAGUCAGCAACUUCAAAACUCAGACUUUAAAAGACCUUUUGUGCUUUUUAUAAGGAAAUAAAGAGAGGGAGGUAUGCCAUUUCCAAGGGUACCUCCAACAACCAUAACUGCAGUCACAACACAGAAUAGCAGUUUUUAUGUAAGUAUUACCUGAAUAAAAUAAGAUCCAAGCAGUGAAGGAAGAGGGCUAUUAAGCACCAGCUCCAAGUGGCCCCAAGCUUCACCACUGCUCUUGGAAUAGUUCUAACCCGUCUAACCAUGGCCUAAAUCAGCUCUCAUAAAAUGGCCUUGUGCUUUGCAGGCUGUGUGUGGGGUUAGGUUGUUUUUGUUUUGAUUUGUUUGUUUAUUUGAUGUUUUUAAUUAUUUGCUUUCUAAAUGAAGUUUUAGAAUUCUUCUUUUUGGGGGGUUGGGUGGGGCUUUACUUGUUGUUCUAGACUUUUCCUUUUCUCUUCUAUUAGUGUCAAACCCAAGGGUGUAUGCUCAGUUGGCAAAGUUGGCCAGGAGAUAUUACUGACCCCUAGUGGCUACAGCCCAAAGGGUUCAUGGGGAAAGCUCUGAAAGAGUUCUUGAAGGGGUGAGUGUUUGUAUACUUGGAGGAGGAGGGAGUCCAGAAUGGCUAGAAUAAUAAAUAGCCCAUAUAUAGAAAGCGACUAAGAACUGAAGGAAGAUUGAAACCCAAAAAACCCAGAGAUAAAAGCCAAUGAUAAGUCUCAGUGGGUGAGACCCAAAUUAAAUUUAGAGAACUCACGUAGUGGAAGAAGAGAACCAAGGACUUAGAGACUAGCCCAGCCUGGAAGUGGAAUUUUAAAUAUAACAGCUAAGUGGUGACAACUGGGAUUCAAAUGUGCCAAGAUCCUCAGGCAGAGCUGGCUCAGAGCACUGGGGCUGAGAAGACUUCAAUCCAGGCAGUGUGCAUCAUUGACAAACAUCAACUACGCUGGCCUGUUUCUGCCAGUCUUCACAUGGGGUGGUGUUCUCACAUUAAAAUAGAAUAUAGUGUGGAUGUUGGCUAUUCCAUCACAGUAACUAUAGCAUAAGACAGCAUGUAGACCUCUCUUAACAGAUAAUGUGAAGAAAUCCAAUAUUAUGAAGUCUAUCUAUGAAUAAGACUAUUCAUAUACAGAUG